rnacentral:rRNA from 1 species
CCAGACUCCUACGGGAGGCAGCAGUGAGGAAUAUUGGUCAAUGGGCGAGAGCCUGAACCAGCCAAGUCGCGUGAGGGAAGACGGUCCUAUGGAUUGUAAACCUCUUUUGUCAGGGAGCAACGCCGGCUACGUGUAGCCGGACUGAGAGUACCUGAAGAAAAAGCAUCGGCUAACUCCGUGCCAGCAGCCGCGGUAAUACGGAGGAUGCGAGCGUUAUCCGGAUUUAUUGGGUUUAAAGGGUGCGUAGGCGGAAUGCCAAGUCAGCGGUAAAAUCGCGGGGCUCAACCUCGCUCCGCCGUUGAAACUGGCGUUCUUAAGUGGGCGAGAAGUAUGCGGAAUGCGUGGUGUAGCGGUGAAAUGCAUAGAUAUCACGCAGAACUCCGAUUGCGAAGGCAGCAUACCGGCGCCCAACUGACGCUGAAGCACGAAAGCGUGGGUAUCGAACAGGAUUAGAUACCCCUGUA